rnacentral:rRNA from 1 species
AGACCCGAAACCCGGUGAUCUAGCCAUGGGCAGGUUGAAGGUUGGGUAACACUAACUGGAGGACCGAACCGACUAAUGUUGAAAAAUUAGCGGAUGACCUGUGGCUGGGGGUGAAAGGCCAAUCAAACCGGGAGAUAGCUGGUUCUCCCCGAAAGCUAUUUAGGUAGCGCCUCGUGAAUUCAUCUCCGGGGGUAGAGCACUGUUUCGGCUAGGGGGCCAUCCCGGCUUACCAACCCGAUGCAAACUGCGAAUACCGGAGAAUGUUAUCACGGGAGACACACGGCGGGUGCUAACGUCCGUCGUGAAGAGGGAAACAACCCAGACCGCCAGCUAAGGUCCCAAAGUCAUGGUUAAGUGGGAAACGAUGUGGGAAGGCCCAGACAGCCAGGAUGUUGGCUUAGAAGCAGCCAUCAUUUAAAGAAAGCGUAAUAGCUCACUGGUCGAGUCGGCCUGCGCGGAAGAUGUAACGGGGCUAAACCAUGCACCGAAGCUGCGGCAGCGACACUGUGUGUUGUUGGGUAGGGGAGCGUUCUGUAAGCCUGUGAAGGUGGCCUGUGAGGGUUGCUGGAGGUAUCAGAAGUGCGAAUGCUGACAUAAGUAACGAUAAAGCGGGUGAAAAGCCCGCUCGCCGGAAGACCAAGGGUUCCUGUCCAACGUUAAUCGGGGCAGGGUGAGUCGACCCCUAAGGCGAGGCCGAAAGGCGUAGUCGAUGGGAAACGGGUUAAUAUUCCCGUACUUGGUGUUACUGCGAAGGGGGGACGGAGAAGGCUAUGUUGGCCGGGCGACGGUUGUCCCGGUUUAAGCGUGUAGGUGUGUGUUCCAGGUAAAUCCGGUUCACUUUAACACUGAGGCGUGACGACGAGGCACUACGGUGCUGAAGCAACAAAUGCCCUGCUUCCAGGAAAAGCCUCUAAGCAUCAGGUAACAUCAAAUCGUACCCCAAACCGACACAGGUGGUCAGGUAGAGAAUACCAAGGCGCUUGAGAGAACUCGGGUGAAGGAACUAGGCAAAAUGGUGCCGUAACUUCGGGAGAAGGCACGCUGACACGUAGGUGAAGUGAUUUACUCACGGAGCUGAAGUCAGUCGAAGAUACCAGCUGGCUGCAACUGUUUAUUAAAAACACAGCACUGUGCAAACACGAAAGUGGACGUAUACGGUGUGACGCCUGCCCGGUGCCGGAAGGUUAAUUGAUGGGGUCAGCGCAAGCGAAGCUCCUGAUCGAAGCCCCGGUAAACGGCGGCCGUAACUAUAACGGUCCUAAGGUAGCGAAAUUCCUUGUCGGGUAAGUUCCGACCUGCACGAAUGGCGUAAUGAUGGCCAGGCUGUCUCCACCCGAGACUCAGUGAAAUUGAACUCGCUGUGAAGAUGCAGUGUACCCGCGGCAAGACGGAAAGACCCCGUGAACCUUUACUAUAGCUUGACACUGAACAUUGAGCCUUGAUGUGUAGGAUAGGUGGGAGGCUUUGAAGUGUGGACGCCAGUCUGCAUGGAGCCGACCUUGAAAUACCACCCUUUAAUGUUUGAUGUUCUAACGUGGACCCGUGAUCCGGGUUGCGGACAGUGUCUGGUGGGUAGUUUGACUGGGGCGGUCUCCUCCUAAAGAGUAACGGAGGAGCACGAAGGUUGGCUAAUCCUGGUCGGACAUCAGGAGGUUAGUGCAAUGGCAUAAGCCAGCUUGACUGCGAGCGUGACGGCGCGAGCAGGUGCGAAAGCAGGUCAUAGUGAUCCGGUGGUUCUGAAUGGAAGGGCCAUCGCUCAACGGAUAAAAGGUACUCCGGGGAUAACAGGCUGAUACCGCCCAAGAGUUCAUAUCGACGGCGGUGUUUGGCACCUCGAUGUCGGCUCAUCACAUCCUGGGGCUGAAGUAGGUCCCAAGGGUAUGGCUGUUCGCCAUUUAAAGUGGUACGCGAGCUGGGUUUAGAACGUCGUGAGACAGUUCGGUCCCUAUCUGCCGUGGGCGCUGGAGAACUGAGGGGGGCUGCUCCUAGUACGAGAGGACCGGAGUGGACGCAUCACUGGUGUUCGGGUUGUCAUGCCAAUGGCACUGCCCGGUAGCUAAAUGCGGAAGAGAUAAGUGCUGAAAGCAUCUAAGCACGAAACUUGCCCCGAGAUGAGUUCUCCCUGAGACUUAGAGUCUCCUGAAGGAACGUUGAAGACGACGACGUUGAUAGGCCGGGUGUGUAAGCGCAGCGAUGCGUUGAGCUAACCGGUACUAAUGAACCGUGAGGCUUAACCUUAC